UUUCACCUACCCCUUUCCAUCGUCACCCACACUCCUCUUCACACCUCCAUCAACGUUAGCUAGCUUCACUACAAAGCCUCCCUUACCCCGACGUCUCUACCGCCGGCGAAUGGCCUUCAUAGCGCCGCCUCGGCUUCCAUCUGCACAACAGAGCUGUCCCACCCCACCUGCAAGGACGCUACUGUCUUCAACACCACAACACAGCCCCGCCAUUGUUGCUUCUCACGUAGGUCCAGGUCGCCGUUAUGUCGUUGCUGUUCCUUCUCACUGAGGUCGACGUCAUCACGCAGAGUCCUUUUCGUCGGAAGGCGUCGACGUCACACGGCCUCCCACAAGUAGGGUAGCAACCACUUCUGUCUAGACGCCGGCUUGCCAUCGCUGGUCGACUACCGUCGCAUGCCGUUACUGCUUCAAUCACCAAGGUGUUCUCCAAUUGGUUAGUAUAUUGUUAGGGUUUUAAGUAAUAGAAGAUGCUUUUAUUUUGUUUCUAGUUUCAGAAGAAUGUAUACUCUUGUGUGAAAAUAUUAUGAUUUUUGGUGGAUUGAUAAAUGGAUUUGUCUCUGAUUUCAAUUGUUGGAUUUUCUAAUUAUGCCAAUUGGAUGUUUACUUUUGUUGAGUAUGCAUAUGAUUCAAUUAUAAUUUAUUGGAUGUUAUUUUUUGUUGUGAAUGGAUGGUUCCUAGUGAAUGAUCGCGAAUGUUGUUUUUGCCCUCAAAUGGCUAUUUUCGUCAAUUGUGCUUGUCGUUGCUUCUGCCUCUGCUUCUGACCCUAGUCGAUGUCGUCGUUGCGGACUCGUCUUCCCCGUUAGCUCCGUCAAAACUCCUCAUCCUGCAUCAUUCAACGCGGCUGCGUGAAGGCCAGCACUGGUUCUUGGAUGCGUGGACCCGUCUCCUCCAAUUCCAUCACACACUGCUGCUCUACAACCAUCUUAUUUAGCUGUAACAGAUCAAACUUGUGAGUUCAUAUCAAGCAGAGAUCCAGAUUGUCAAGAGGAUGGUGGUGAAGCUAAGUGGUUCAGCGGAUCAUAUGCUGGGAGGGGCAACUGAAUCAGAUAGAUCAAGGUAGCCUAAUCCAUCUGAAGACCUCGCAGUGCCCUCUGAUGCUAAGUCUGACCAAAAUAAUAACUAAUUGAUUUGUUUUUAAAAUGUUUUUUAAAUUCUUUAGUCAAAUUUUCUGCUUUUUGCAUAGGCGACUGUAAAGCUGUCAAUAUUUUGUUUGCUUGUGUAUUAUCAAUCUCAGAAUAUGAAAUAAUAUUCU